GGGGGAUAAAGUCUCGGCGCUCGGCGCUGGAACGCUGAGUGUCGCGCUCGGCGCUGCUGGACGCGCCGCGGUCGGGGCGCGCUGCGGAGGGACCCGCGUCGGGCCGGCGGGAGCAGACUGGUGGUGUUCCGGGGACUGGGAGCAGAGUCCUUCCCUCCCCCAAGAACCGCGCAGGCUCUCCUGGUUGUUCCUGCCCAGCCAUGCAGUGGGUGGUGAAGCUCUACUUGCUGGGUGCGUUGCUGUCCCUGCUGUCGGUUCUCUUUGGAUUGAUGGACUCCCUGGACAGCCUGAUGGCCCCUCAGGGCCUGGAGCGGUGCCUCUCCAGCCCAUGGAUGGAACCGGGGGGCAGCCUUGCUGAGGGGCAGCCGAAGAUCCUCCAAGGACAGGCGAAGCGAAGGACAAACAAAGCCUUUGGCUCGUACCUCUGAGCUCUGGGGGGGCACAGGGACUACUCCCUGAGGGCUCACCGUGGUGCUUGGACUCUGGCUUUGGCUCUUCAGGGCUGCGUUGCUGGUGUGGCCCUUCCUGUGAGACGGAGGGCACCAAGCUUCUGGCCUGGUGGUGGCUACUCAGAUAACGUCCCUGCUAAAAUUAUGCUGAUGGCAGGGCCACCAUGAGCCACUGGGGAGGUGUCCUGCGCACAGAUCCCUCUCCAACUCUGCACCCCUACCAUGCAGAAUGUCCUGGGGCAGUGGGGAAUGGGAGGCUUCGUGUCUGCCCUUAGAGUGAAUUUUGAGCAGUGAGGGCGGUGGGGGCUGCUGCAGAGCAGGGGCCUGGCAUGGGUUUGUGGGGAGGGAGCUGUGUGUGUGUGUGUGUGUGUGUGUUUGGGGGGGAGGAAUCUUGAGCUCUUCGAGGCGCUGGUAUUGCCCUAAUGAAAGGCCUCUCCAAGGGCGAUGAUCUUGAUCUGCUGUUCUAGUCCUUCAGCCCCAGCUGCAAAGCUAGCCAGUGCUCUCCAAGGCUGGAGACGCCUUGAUCUGCUCCCCCUGUGGGCGCUGGGCUGGGGCUGGAAGAGAGGAGUCUGCAGCUGGUGUGCGCUGUGCGGGGGAGAUGGAACAAGCAGCCCUUGUUAAUGUGCCUCCUACCUGGCCUGGGAGGCCUCCCCUCCCCCUGGGGCCUGCUGUGAGCCAGCAAGGGAGGGACAGCUGCACGAGGAACCUCCCACUCCCUGCCCACCUGCCUCCUCUCUUAGCAGCGCUGCUCCCCACUGCCCAGCUGUGAGGGGUCAGCUCUCCUGUCUCUGGGGCAGUGGCCUUCUGGGACCUGGAGCCCUUGAUCCAUUUGCUCCAGAUUCUCUUUUCAGAGGGAAGAGGGGCCCUACCUGCUUUCUGGGGGGCAGGAUUUCUGUACAAAGGCGUCUACCCCCUUGCCCCACUGGCCGCAGCAUGUGCUUGCCUCUCUCUGCCUGGAAGGACGUUGAGUCUCUUACUACAUGUGACCUCCAGAACGCUGCGGCCUGGGGUUGCUAGAGUCUGGGGCGUGCCCAGAGCACGUGUGCCCCUGCUUGUUGGAGGGGCUGCGGCAAGUGACCAACCCAGAUGCCCUGUAUUCAUGGUGUUUCCAGGUGCCACUGGACAGCCCGGCCCCUUCCCCACCACAUGCUCCGUCCCUGUGCUCUGUACAUGCUGGGGGGGGUUGCAGAAGCUGCCUGCCUGCCCACACUGGCUCGGCCCUGGGAUGGGAGCCACAGCGAGAGCCCUGCUCUAGACAAGGCUGCGGGUUUCCCUCUGCUCAUGUCUGCGAGCCCCAGGCUGGCUGUGCUUGGGAACUCCCUGGCCUCGCUAGCCAGCAGCAAGAGGCCCAAGGCUGGGCUUUUGCU